rnacentral:rRNA from 1 species
UACGUAGGUGGCAAGCGUUGUCCGGAUUUACUGGGCGUAAAGGGCGCGUAGGCGGUGCGGUACGGUUUCGGUGAAAUCCCUCGGCCCAACCGAGGAACAGCCGGAGCUACGGCCGCACUAGACGGCAUCAGGGGACAGUGGAACUUCCGGUGGAGCGGUGAAAUGCGUAGAUAUCGGAAGGAACGCCGGUGGCGAAAGCGACUGUCUGGGGUGCCUGUGACGCUGAGGCGCGAAAGCCAGGGGAGCGAACGGG